rnacentral:rRNA from 1 species
UACGGGGGGUGCAAGCGUUGUCCGGAAUUAUUGGGCGUAAAGAGCUCGUAGGCGGCUUGUCGCGUCGGCUGUGAAAACUCGGGGCUCAACCCCGAGCCUGCAGUCGAUACGGGCAGGCUAGAGUCCGGCAGGGGAGACUGGAAUUCCUGGUGUAGCGGUGAAAUGCGCAGAUAUCAGGAGGAACACCGGUGGCGAAGGCGGGUCUCUGGGCCGGAACUGACGCUAAGGAGCGAAAGCGUGGGGAGCGAACAGG